rnacentral:rRNA from 1 species
AUUGAACGCUGGCGGCAGGCCUAACACAUGCAAGUCGAACGAGUGGCGGACUGGUGAGUAAUGUCUGUGAAACUGCCUGACGGAGGGGGAUAAAUACUGUAAAUUGUAGCUAACACCGCACACACUCGGAAGUGCCCAGAUGGGAUUAGCUAGUAGGUGGGGUAACGGCUCAACUAUCCGACGAUCCCUAGCUGGUCUGAGAGGAUGACCAGCCACACUGGAACUGAGACACGGUCCAGACUCCUACGAGAGGCAGCAGUGGGGAAUAUGGCACAAUAGGCGCAAUCCUGAUGCAGCCAUGCCGCGUGUAUUAAGAAGGCCUUCGGGUUGUAAAGUACUUUCAGCGGGGAGGCGUUACCCGCAGAAGAAGCACCGGCUAACUCCAUGCCAGCAGCCGCGGUAAUUC